GAUGAACGCUGGCGGCGUGCCUAAUACAUGCAAGUAGAACGCUGAAGCUUGGUGCUUGCACCGAGCGGAUGAGUUGCGAACGGGUGAGUAACGCGUAGGUAACCUGCCUCUUAGCGGGGGAUAACUAUUGGAAACGAUAGCUAAUACCGCAUAAAAGUCGACAUUGCAUGAUGUUGACUUGAAAGGGGCAAUUGCUCCACUACAAGAUGGACCUGCGUUGUAUUAGCUAGUAGGUGAGGUAACGGCUCACCUAGGCGACGAUACAUAGCCGACCUGAGAGGGUGAUCGGCCACACUGGGACUGAGACACGGCCCAGACUCCUACGGGAGGCAGCAGUAGGGAAUCUUCGGCAAUGGGGGCAACCCUGACCGAGCAACGCCGCGUGAGUGAAGAAGGUUUUCGGAUCGUAAAGCUCUGUUGUAAGUCAAGAACGAGUGUGAGAGUGGAAAGUUCACACUGUGACGGUAGCUUACCAGAAAGGGACGGCUAACUACGUGCCAGCAGCCGCGGUAAUACGUAGGUCCCGAGCGUUGUCCGGAUUUAUUGGGCGUAAAGCGAGCGCAGGCGGUUUGAUAAGUCUGAAGUUAAAGGCUGUGGCUCAACCAUAGUUCGCUUUGGAAACUGUCAAACUUGAGUGCAGAAGGGGAGAGUGGAAUUCCAUGUGUAGCGGUGAAAUGCGUAGAUAUAUGGAGGAACACCGGUGGCGAAAGCGGCUCUCUGGUCUGUAACUGACGCUGAGGCUCGAAAGCGUGGGGAGCGAACAGG
rnacentral:rRNA from 1 species